AGACGCAGUGCUUGUUUCAUAGGAGAUGUUAGGUAUUUAUAAUCUGAAUAUAUUAAAAUAUGCAUAUGUACAUAUUUCCAUGAUAAAUAAAAGGAAGUUGCUUGAAGUUAAAAUCAAAGCCCAAUUCGUAUUGAAUUUCAACAAAACGUAUCAAGAAUUUUGGGGUGUUUCAUCGCACAGAUUAAUCUUUAAUCUCUACUCCGUAUUAUUAAUCUAAUCCGCCUAACCAAAAAAAUUAUGACCCGCAGAUAUUUAAGCUGUUUAGAACUUGUUUCACAUUUUUUCAAGAAUUUUUACCCAAAGUACUUGGUUGUUCAAUAAGUGAAUGCUCACGCUCUGCUAAAGACUUUUCGUCAUCAAUUAGUACAAUAGAAAGAUGGGUUGCUGAAUUUAAACUUGGUCGUACAAGCCUUGAAGGCGAUUCACGUCAAGGAACAGGAACAACUACAGAAAUCGUAGAAAAAUACAGGAUAUCGUAUUGGAAAAUCGUCGAGUGCCUGAAAGAGAUUUAGUAGAAGCCCUACGCAUCUCACUUUCGAAUGCGACUUUCUCAAAAAACAUUUAGAGCGUUUUUAAAAGGAUAAGGUGGAUUUUGUACAGCGAUUCAUCACUAUGGAUGGGAUGAUCACAUGAUCCGAAAUCAAAACAAGAGGUUAACCUGGUUCUUCGGCUCCGAAACGAGAAUCGCUGAAGGAAAAGAAUCGUGAAAAAGGACCCAGUUUGCAGAAGAAAGAAAUAUUUUUCAUCAGGUCAAUGCACCCUGCAUGCAUGGAAAGCGUUUUCAUUAACUGAUGUGGCCAUAACAGCUGUGGAAGCAUAUUUUGCAGCACUUCAGGGAUGGAAUUCAUAAAUUGGAGUCCCGUUGGUGCGAGUGUAUUGAUGGUGUUUUCUUAACGAACCCCAAAACUGUUUGAACAACCUAGUAAUUUCGUAAUGCAGAAUUUAGAACAGCUUCCAUUUUGUUUACAUACAUUUAUAGAUACAGGUAUAUGAACUUGAUAAAUGGUAAUUUUCGCUAAAAUUGACAUUCCAAAAAAAUUUAUUAACUCCAACUAUGAGUAAGCACAUUGCGUAUUGCAAAUGAUUUAUUAUUAUUAUUUUUUUUAGAAAAGUAAGCAAAAUCAU